UCUUGUGAAGAGAGGACGUAUACGAUGUCUGAAGGAUAUAAACUUGGUGAUUUAGUAUGGGCGAAGAUGAAGGGGUUCAGCCCCUGGCCCGGUCGGGUAGCGAUUCCUACGCCCGAGUUGAAGCCGCCGAAAAAGGCGAGCAAUGUCCAAUGCAUUUACUUCUUCGGCAGUAAUAACUAUGCCUGGAUCGAAGACAGCAACAUCAAGCCGUACCAGGAGUUCAAGGACCAGCUUAUCAAGUCCUGCAAGACUGCCGCCUUGAAGGAUGCUGUGGCCCAGAUCGAGGAGUAUAUCGUCAACCCUGAGAAAUUUGGUGAUCUGGACGACCACGCUCGCUCUGCGGAGGAGGAGUUUGACAAAUUGAAGGAUGUCCUCGACAAAGAAGACGAUGAGGAGGGAGAGGACAAGGAGGAGUCGUCUCCGGAGGUCAAGAAGAAGACCGGCACUCCUAAGAUACGUUUGUCAAAGGUGAAGUCGGUGAAGCGUUCUUCAUCGUCCGGGAUGAAGGGGACCCCUCGCAAGAAGGCCAAGAGCAGUCUCUCCCGCUCGUACGACUCUGACAUGGCUAAUGAUAAGCCAUCGAUGCUGAACCAUUCAUUCUCCAAGAAGUCAAGCUUGCUGCAUCGCCCCUCUAACAUUCUCAGACCUGACACUCCCCCCCUAGAUUUGGAGAACGUCUCCGAGACGCUCCGCGAGAAGAAGAUCCAGGCUAGCCAGAUGAAGUUCGGCUUCCUCGGCCUGGGCAUCAUGGGCAGCGGGAUCGUCAAGAACUUGCUCAACUCCGGCCACAAGGUGCUCGUCUGGAACCGCACUGGCGCUAAGUGCAAAGAUUUCGAGAAGGUGGGCGCCACACUGGCAGUGACACCAUGCGACGUGGUGGAGGAGGCUGAUAUCACCUUCUCCUGUGUCGCGGACCCACAGGCUGCUAAAGAGAUGGUGUUCGGCAACUGCGGCGUGCUGCAUUGCCCAUCCCUAGAGGGCAAGGGUUACGUGGAGAUGACGUCCAUCGACGCAGACACAUCCCACGAUAUCGUCGAGGCCAUCAGCGGCAAAGGCGGCCGCUACCUCGAGGCACAGAUCCAAGGCUCCAAGACUCAAGCGGAGGAAGGCACGCUGAUCAUCCUGGCGGCUGGCGACCGCUCGCUGUUCGACGACUGCCAGAGCUGCUUUAAGGCGAUGAGCAAGAACUCCUUUUACCUCGGUAGCGACAUCGGCAACGCGUCGAAGAUGAACGCGGUGCUGCAGGUGCUGGGCGGCGUGUCGCUGGCGGCGCUGGCCGAGGGGCUGGCGCUGGCCGACCGCGCCGGCCUCAACCAGGCCGACCUGCUCGACGUGCUGGCGCUCACGCCGCUCGCCUCGCCGCACCUCAUACUCAAGGGCCGCGCGAUGAUCGAGUCGGCGUACUCGACACACCAGCCGCUCACCCACAUGCAGAAGGACCUCAAGCUGGCGCUCGGCCUCGGCGACGCCCUCGAGCAGUCCCUGCCCCUCACGGCCACUACCAACGAAAUCUUCAAACACGCCAAGCGAUUGGGAUACGCGAACCACGACGUCUCCGCAGUCUAUAUUAGAGCCAGAUUCUGAAUAUGAGGUUCCCCAACCUCGUAUUCAGUAUCUGGCUCUAAUGGCAACGCUAAAUCCUUUGCUAAGUAACUGUGUUUCCACUGAAGCGGAACGGAGCGGAGACGCGGAGGUGUGCAGGAAUCGACCAAUUACCGAGAAGUUACAAUUCGGUUUCAACACUGAAUUGCGAAUAUAGAAAGUAAGAAUAUAUUUUAAAGGACGUCACAGAAUAAUACCAAAACAUCAGUCUUAAAAACGCACAUAUAAUACAUACAUAUAUAAAAACGUACACAGAAUGACAAUUAAAAAAGAAAAACAAUGAUGCGGGUCGGAAUGAUCAUGGACAAUCUCAAUAGUAAUAUCUAAAGAUUGAUUUUGUAAUUCCUGAUAUUAUGGCACCUGACCUAAUCGACCGUCCGUUAUGGAUCGGACAUGUCAAAUCUUCAGGUUAGAUAAGCGGACUCUGUGAAAAACGGGAUGAUGCUAGAUGAGGAACACGAUGGUGAUUAUGGGACCAUUCAGUAUUGUCGCAUUUUUUUUUCGAAUCGAUGGCAGACUAUAGUACCCUCCCAGUAUUUGGCUACGGAAAUAGCAUUGUCAGUAGCCAGCAUCAAGUCCUCCCGCGUGCAGGUGGCAGGGGAACAAGGACAAGACAUGAGGUCGCACUUCUAAAAUUCACUCACUGUUUAACAAGAUCAAAAUAAAACACAUCAAAGUGUCGAAACUGUAGCUUCACCGCGAGAGCGACAGAGCGUCUUCUCUCUCACUCUCGUUAGCUGUGAUUGGUCGGUUCCGCACGUCUCCGCUCCGCUCCGCACCGCUCCGCACCGCUCCGCUUCACUGGAAACACAGUCUUAGCGAAGCAUUUGUCGGUGCUAUAUAGAGAGAACUGUAGGUCAAGAAGAAUUUCAGUAUACUGUACCCUCGACCGUAGAUUGUCGUCUCAGCAUUUCUAUUAAGAGAGUUUAGGAAAUGCUUCCUGCGUCUUUUUUGUUUCAGCUAACCCGCAGUAGUCACACCCGUAACACCUAAAGGGGUAGACGGAGUCACAAAUCAACAAUAAGAUAACCGGCAGCCACCUCUCAUAGUCGCUCUAAAAACUGCACGGUGACAAAUUACAAUAUUAAACCAUUUAUUUGAGGCUACAUAUGCCUAUACAAUAAAUAAUAUACUCCUUUUUUGAAGUCGCUUAAAAAACCACUUAAAAUGAAAAACCUAUUAUCCGCUCCUAUUAUCAACCCAUCGCUCAAAUAUAAUAAGUAUAGCAUUAUGUUAUGAAGGACAUUUUUUUUAAGGAAGAUAGGGAUAGUAGCUAUUGGUGUCGAUUCGCGUAAUCACCAACUUAAUUUUAACUUGACAGGACUAAACUAGCUGCAUCUUUUUCUUGCGCGUAUUGUAAGUGAAGGACGGCACUAAUUGAAGAGCUGUGUCAGCACUAAGGUUGAGUUUGUGUCCGCCCGAAUAGGCACCAACGAAUAGUACUAACUCUAGCUGUGAGCCUUGGUAUCCCAGUUAAUAGAAUGCUUGCCCCUCAAUUUGGCUAGUAGGGUUGAAUCUAGCACAAGCCUAAACCAAUGACUGUCGAAUUUGUUUUUCGUAUUCGUGUUUGGAUCAUAAAUGAUUAUCACGUGCUUAGUGGUGAAGGAAAACAUCGUGAGGAAACCCACAUUAAAGAGAAAUGCAUUUUCGGAGGUAUGUGACCUAACCUGUAUUGGGUUUUCUCUUCGUAGGUUGGAAGGUCAGACAGGCAGUCGCUUCUGUAGAAAACCGGACCUGUCAAAUCUUUAGGUUAGGUAAGCGGACCCUGUGAAAAACGGGAUAAUGCUAGGGAGAUGAUUAU
rnacentral:misc_RNA from 1 species